UCUGUUAGGCUAGGGAAGCAGAAGGAAGGGAGCAGAGGGAAGGAAGGGAAGGGGGAAAAGCCACCCACGGGGGCAGGGGAACGGGGAUGCCUGGCUUCAACAUCUUCUCCCUCUAGCUCCCUCUCUUCUCCCGCUUGCUAGAGAGCAAUUGAGGGGGAAUAGAAGGGGCAAGCCUCAGAAGAUUUGGAAACGAAGCAUAGCAAUAAAAAGGAUCCAAAGCCAUGAUUUACCCGGACCAGGUUAAGGUUUUCUCUGAUGGACUUGGUCAUGGCGACAGAAAGCCCGAGCCCUUUGGCUUCCUGGGACCUCUUUGCUGCUGUUGUAUAGAAGGCUAACAUCUGGCCAGACUAUUGUCUACUUGUUGGCUAAACCAAGGAAAAUCCUACGGAAGAGUGGAUUUCAACAAACAAGGGCGUUCUGAAUAAAUCCCCAGCUUCAAACAGCAACAAUUAAAGCCGAUCCGAGGUCGGACAUUCCCGUGGUGGCUGUUUGCUGAGACCUGGCCGCCAAAGUGGCAGGAGUCCUGCCCGCCCAUUACUUGAAGAAGGCUUCCACUCACAGGCUACGGGCCCUAAAUCCAGGAAUUAAAGGAUGGAGGGGGUUAUUUAAACAAUUGGACAAGAGGCUGAGAAGGAGAGGUGCGUGUACACAGCCUAAGUGCUUGUACUUCAGCACAAGUGCCCUCUAGGAGCGGGAAGUGUUUACCUGUUUACUUUUACAGGUAGCUCAAACACGAGGCAGGCGCCUCUUCACAGAUUUGUGCAGGUGUCUUAACCCGAAAAGAACUGGGCAUCCAAAAUGCGGAUAGAGAGAGACACUCCUAAUAUUAUUUUGUAAAAUCCACAAUGGAGGCCUUUUAAAAACAGUUUGUCCCGACGAAAGCAAAGACCCUCUCAGCCACUACACUCAUGCAAAUUGCUAGUGCACUUCUAGCGUGAGAGGCUAUAGCUAUGCGAGGGCUGGCUGAAGGCUGCAGCCACCUCCCCUUUCUAAGGAACCGAAGGCAAGGCUCUUCAUCAGGAAAGUUGUGUUCUAUUCUGAAGCAAGAUGCGAAAAGUAUACCAGUUACACCCUGCAACAGUGCUGCUUGUAACAGAAGAGUCUCGAAAGGUUUUGCCCUUUGGGUCAGGCCACAAUAGCAGCAGCAACAACAUGUAUUGUCGAAGGCUUUCAUGGCCGGAAUCACUGGGUAGCUCCAGACAUGAAACUCCAAACAUGAAACUAUCAGGGCCAGCUAACACCUCCCAAGAAAGGAUUCCCCCAGGCAGGAAUCUGCCAGGCUUUUAAGCUGCAAGGUUUUUCAACGCUAAUCAAGGCUAAUCGGUUAUUUACGGGCUGUGGCAAAGCCAGAGGGCACGUGUCAGGAGUUGGAUGAAGCGACCUUAAUGAGAUUUCCGCAAAUAUACCAAAACCGCAGAACAUGAUUUGGAAAUAAUCAAGUCAAUGGAUAAGUUGUUCUUCCAACAACCCAAACCAACAAAAGGAGGUCUUGUCGUCGCCACCACAUCUAGCGCCGUCACAUAGAUAGAUUCUCUGCAACGCUCCCUCUCCGCUGCAUGCAUUAUUUUCUGCCAAAGCUAAGUCUGGCCUCCGGCUCUCCUCUCGGUUCCAGUCUAUUAUGGCUGUUUUAUUAGCAAACUAAAAGCUUCCUUCCCUCCA